AGCCCGGUGGUGUAGCGGAAGCAUCGGGGGCUCUGGCCCCCCGGGCGGGAGUUCGAAUCUCCCCCGGGCUACCA
rnacentral:tRNA from 2 species